GCCUUCAUAGUCUAACUUUAGGUAAAAAAGUUAGACCUGCAUCAGCUCUUGUUAACGAACAAAAUAUCUUGUCCUACAAAGAAGGAGGCUUCAGUGAUUUCCUUGACUUCAUUUCGGGAGAAGAUAUUGUGGAAGCAAAGUACAUAGACACAUUAAAAAUAAAUACAUGAUGAUUAUAGUACAUGGACAACAGAGCAGGCAAUACUGGAAUUCUCAUUUUUACACUCUUCAAACUCCAUUUUGUAUGAUCCGUGUUUUACAGUAGCCAGAUUUUCUAUGUACUUUGUUCGAAUUUUGCUGGUGAGAUUUUUUUAUUUUUGCUUUUUAUUUUAUUUUGUUGAGAAAAAAAUAAGAGCUCUUCCUUCAUACUAGGAGGCCUUGCUGUAAAAAAAAAAAAUUGAACAAACUUACCAGCCAUUUCAUCUUAACCAAGGUUUCCCUCAAGGCCACUUAUUUUGUUGCACCACCAACAAAAUAAAAAUGCAUCUUCAGGAUCCGAUGAUUUAUCUCACUUAGCUAACAUCACAACUUGGCAGAUAGAAGCCAGCAACUGGAAAGAAGUUCUAACAUUCACCACAUCAAGUCCAAUUUAAGCCAAAUGUUGGUCAUACUACAAGUUUAGAACUCGAGCCACAUUCAUCACUGGUAGACGCACCUAUUGGGAAGAUGUUCUCUCACACAAGGUAAAUUUUUAAUGGUAAAUAGACACAAGAAUUAGUUAUGACCUUAAACUAAUUAGACCAGCAAAGAACAUUAUAUUGAUUUACAGCCACAACCAUAUACAGCCAAAAUCACCUUCCAACAAUACAUUCUGCACAUAUAACACAGGAAUAGCCAGUAUAACAACUGCUCUGACAUUAAUAUUAGUAUCAUUAUUUUGUGUGUGUUCUUUUAGGUUUUCUGUGUCAGAAGUUUCCUUUGUAAGCUAACAGGGAAGCAUGGCUUCAAAACUCAAGUUCCAUGACCCUGGUAAUGCUCACGUUUGAUCUCGCUAAUGUUCAGACACCCAAACUGUUUUACCUCCAAUACUAUUUACUCAUUUCAAACCUUCUCCAAACAAUCUUGUUAUUAUCGCUAGGGAUGGCAAUAGGGCAGGGCAUAUUCGGGGUGGGGCAGGGAGUGUUGUGCGGGACAGGGCAGGGCGGGACAAAAUAUAUUUUCGAAAAAUUAUAAUGAAGGCAGGGAAAGUGGUAGGGCAAGGGGUUUCAGAUGCAAAUUGAAAAUUUCUCAACCUUAUUUCAGUGUCGACAAUGGGAUUGUUGUUGUCAACGUACUAAUGAAAUAUCAAUUGUUGGGUGCUGGCAACGUUUAAAAUAAGAUUUCAUACUAAAGGAAUAUCAAUAACUUCUUUUUUAUUUAAAUAAGAUCAAUAUGGGACAACUGUUUUACUAUUACUUGAAAUCAAAUUAUUUCAAUUACAAAAAUAUUGAAAUAAAAAUAUUGUAAAUUUUCCCUGCUACUAAUUCCAAAAGUAAGCACUCGCAAAAGCCAAAACAACAUAGAAACUAAGUUUGUGUUGUAUCAUUUUAUACUCCCUCCGUUCACUUUUACUUGUCCACUAUUCCUAAGAAUAAAUUUUACUUUUAACAUAUCAAGAAAAGAUAAUUAUUUUUUUCUAUGUUUUACCCUUAGCAUUAAUUACUUAUUUGCCGAAUCAUUUUUCAAGACCUAAUACUAAACAUCAAUUAAUAAGGGUAUUAUAGUAAGAUACUCAUAUAAAUAAUUGUUUCUUAAGGGGUUUGGCGUGUAAAUCCAAAGUGGAGAAGUAAAAGUGAACGGGAGGAGUAUUUGGAAGACCAAAAAGACAAAAAGUAUAUCUCUCUCGCUCAUACUUAAUACAGUAGUGACGCAUUAGUUCGGGUAAUGGAGACAGCAGCAUAGGAGGGGUUUUCAGGAACUCUGAUGGUCAUUGGAUACUAGGCUAUUGUAUGCAUAUUCCCAAUACUACAAUCACUGAAGCUGAACUAAAGGGUCCAGACUAUGCUUAUAUGCAUAUGAAUCUACAUCCACUUCAAGUGGAAAUUGACGCACAAGAGGUGAUCACCUUGCUCUCAUCAUCCAAGGCAAAAUAUGCUAAUAUUUUGUCUGACUGCAGGUCCGUACUCCGACAGUUACAUGAUCCAGUCGUCACUCACAUAUACAGGGAGCAGCACAAGGCAGCAGAUAGUGUAGCUAAAUAUGGAGCAAACAAAACAUUGACUGCUAUGACACUUUUUGAUAGCCCACCUCUUUUUGCUGAAUCAAUGGUUGAAGCAGAUAGACUAGGCAUCACCUUUUGUCGACGUACAACUUUUUGUAACUUACCAACUGAUAGUUUAACUAGUGAGGCAUGUAGUUCAUCUAACCCUACAAUGCCCUGUCCUGUCCUGCCCCGAGCCUCCCUAUUGAUAUUCCUAGUUAUCGCAAACCAAGGAAGGCAAAUGCAUCUCAAUUUCUAUAAUUAAGUUGGUUAUUUUACAUAGAAUUGAUUUCUUAUUGCACUAAAUGGCUGCAAAGUGCAAUCUGUCACCUCUGUUAAUCAGAUAACUUGGGAGACUUACUAUGUUAAUUAUCUCCAUGCAUCAUCAGAAUCAGAAUUAGUAGUAGCAUUCAUUUAAAGACUAUUAAACAAAAUUAUCCCAACUUAUUUCUAAUUCCUUCAGCAAUUGAAGCCAUAUUUUUAGAAAUUCAGCUUAUGGCGCAAUGCUAAGUAUUUAACGACUAUUACACAAAAUCAUCCCAACUUAUUCAGUAACUAUUACAUAAUUUAGUUACUAAACCAAAAUCAGCGACUUGAAGUUACUCGAUUCCUCUCAUGAUGGUCAAAACUUGCGCAAAAUAUAUGAAUAUCAUCAAAUAAAUUGUAGUUUUACAUGAUUCUCACUAUAUCUAAUAAAGACUUUAUUUGCACACAAAAAUUGGAGGAAAAAAUCAACAUAUUCGAGGCAAAAACACUUACGAAGGAAAGUGAAAAAUUGAUUCAGAAAAUUAAACUCUGCAUUUUCUUUUACGUCUCUGAUCUUCUCUGCCCCUACUGCUUUGCUUCUUCUCCAUUGAAGUUUCUGGUUUUCAAUUUUCAUUGGAAGGGGGCUUGGCUUUCAAACGGAUUAAUUUCCUGCUCCGCCGGUUUUACC
rnacentral:lncRNA from 1 species